AGCCUGCAGCAGCAACGCCGCGUGAGUGAUGACGGUCUUCGGGUGUAAAGCUCUGUUCGUUCGGGACGAUAAUGAUGGUACCCAAGGACGAAUCCACGGCUAACUACUUGCCGCCAGCCGCGGUAAUAAUAGUGC
rnacentral:rRNA from 1 species